rnacentral:rRNA from 1 species
GAUGAACGCUGGCGGCGUGCCUAAUACAUGCAAGUCGAGCGAACGGACGAGAAGCUUGCUUCUCUGAUGUUAGCGGCGGACGGGUGAGUAACACGUGGAUAACCUACCUAUAAGACUGGGAUAACUUCGGGAAACCGGAGCUAAUACCGGAUAAUAUUUUGAACCGCAUGGUUCAAAAGUAAAAGACGGUCUUGCUGUCACUUAUAGAUGGAUCCGCGCUGCAUUAGCUAGUUGGUAAGUUAACGGCUUACCAAGGCAACGAUGCAUAGCCGACCUGAGAGGGUGAUCGGCCACACUGGAACUGAGACACGGUCCAGACUCCUACGGGAGGCAGCAGUAGGGAAUCUUCCGCAAUGGGCGAAAGCCUGACGGAGCAACGCCGCGUGAGUGAUGAAGGUCUUCGGAUCGUAAAACUCUGUUAUUAGGGAAGAACAUAUGCGUAAGUAACUGUGCACAUCUUGACGGUACCUAAUCAGAAAGCCACGGCUAACUACGUG